UACGAAGGGGGCUAGCGUUGUUCGGAUUUACUGGGCGUAAAGCGCACGUAGGCGGAUACUUAAGUUAGGGGUGAAAUCCCAGGGCUCAACCCUGGAACUGCCUCUAAUACUGGGUAUCUCGAGUCCGAGAGAGGUGAGUGGAAUUCCGAGUGUAGAGGUGAAAUUCGUAGAUAUCAGGAGGAACACCUGUGGUGUAGACAGCUUACUGGACCAUUUCUGACGCUGAGACACGAAAGCGUGGGUAGCAAACAGG
rnacentral:rRNA from 1 species